rnacentral:rRNA from 1 species
AUACUGAUAGAUAGCGUCCGCGGCACGGCUCGAUUUGCGAUCUGGCUCUUUUAGAGACAGAGGCGGAAUUUGCGCAGUCUGCUUUGGCUUUGGGAUUUCUCCAAGUUCCUUGAAACAGGAUUUCCCUCAGGAUGAGAAUCCCGUACGUGGUCGCUGGCUAUUGCCGUGUAAAGCCCCUUCGACGAGUCGAGUUGUUUGGGAAUGCAGCUCUAAAUGGGAGGUACAUUUCUUCUAAAGCUAAAUAUUGGCCAGAGACCGAUAGCGCACAAGUAGAGUGAUCGAAAGAUGAAAAGCACUUUGGAAAGAGAGUCAAACAGCACGUGAAAUUGUUGAAAGGGAAGCGCUUGCAGCCAGACUUGCUUACAGUUGCUCAUCCGGGUUUCUACCCGGUGCACUCUUCUGUAGGCAGGCCAGCAUCAGUUUGGGCGGUAGGAUAAAGGUCUCUGUCACGUACCUCCUUUCGGGGAGGCCUUAUAGGGGAGACGACAUACUACCAGCCUGGACUGAGGUCCGCGCAUCUGCUAAGAUGCUGGCGUAAUGGCUGUAAGCGGCCCGUCCUGAAACACGGACCAAGGAGUCUAACGUCUAUGCGAGUGUUUGGCUGUCAAGCCCGAGCGCGUAAUGAAACUGAACGGCGGUGCGAACCCGCAAGGGUGCGCCAUCGACCGAUCCUGAUGUCUUCGGAAGCAUCCGAGUAAGAGCCUGGCUCCUGGGACCCUAGACAUGGUCCACUAUGCUUGCAUACGGUGAAGACAGAGAAAACUCUUCUGAAAGAUCGCAACUUCUCUGUCGAGCGAUUCCAUCUUCCACUUCGCGCCUAGGGCGACACAGUAGUUUACUAUCUGCCGCUGAUGCCUGCCUAAUUCCCCCCG